rnacentral:rRNA from 1 species
GACAGAGGUGCCGAGCGUUAGGCGGAAUUACUGGGCGUAAAGCGUAUGCAGGCGGAUCGUUAAGUCGGGGGUGAAAUCCCGAGGCUCAACCUCGGAACUGCCUUCGAUACUGGCGAUCUUGAGUCCGGGAGAGGUGAGUGGAACUCCGAGUGUAGAGGUGAAAUUCGUAGAUAUUCGGAAGAACACCAGUGGCGAAGGCGGCUCACUGGCCCGGUACUGACGCUGAGAUACGAAAGCGUGGGGAGCAAACAGG